rnacentral:lncRNA from 1 species
GUAGAUAUGCAUGUUAAGGGUUUAUGUGGGUUUUAUGCCCAAUGUAUGUUAUGUGAUGUUGUGUUGAGGAGUUUAAGCUAGUUUCUUUGCUCUCUUUGCUUGUGGGAGUGUGUAUGCAUGCUUGGGAGAGAGUAUGUGAGGUUUGGGGUGUUUUGGAAGGUUUUGGAGGCUGGUGUGCAAAGGCUGAGUUCUGAUGAACUCAGGUUCGGCCGCCGAAGGUGG